rnacentral:rRNA from 1 species
UACGUAGGGGGCAAGCGUUGUCCGGAAUUAUUGGGCGUAAAGCGCACGUAGGCGGCUUCUUAAGUCGGUGGUGAAAUCCUGGAGCUCAACUCCAGAACUGCCUUCGAUACUGGGAAGCUCGAGUCCGGGAGAGGUGAGUGGAACUGCGAGUGUAGAGGUGAAAUUCGUAGAUAUUCGCAAGAACACCAGUGGCGAAGGCGGCUCACUGGCCCGGUACUGACGCUGAGGUGCGAAAGCGUGGGGAGCAAACAGG